AUGACCUCAAACGACCCAGUCAGAUGGACCACAAGGAGCUUCACUUCAGCCAGCUUUUCUUCCUUUCCUGACUCAUCACACUUCAGAGUAUGCUGGAAGAGUCUGGGGAAGUUACCAGUGCAGAGCUAGAGAAAGCAGGAGAAAAGGGAGCAUCAGCCCCUGUGUGGUCAAGUGAGGAUACAGUAAGAAGGCAGCCAUCUACAAGCCAGGAAGAGAAACUCCAGGCUCAGAAUAAACAAGAACCUGACCAUGCUGGCAUCUUGCUCUUGGACCUUCACCCUCCAGAACCGUGAGAAAUAAGUGUCUAUUGUUUAAGCCACCCCGUCUAUGAUAUUUUGUUACAGCAGCCUGAGCUGACUAAAACUCAUCUUAAAAACUCUGUGCCUGGGGCUUUUUUUUUGAGGCAAGAUCUCUGAUUA